CAAUAAAACCCUUCUGUACAUGAGUCCUUAGCUCAGUGAAAGAGGAGAGAAAUGGGUCUUACCCAGCAGGCCUUGUGUCUUCAAUGGCUCUGUCCACUGGAAUCAAAUCACUAAGGUAGACAUUGAAGUUUCCUUCUUUCCAUCUCUGCUCGGCCUCCUUCUUCUUCUCAGGGGGAACAACCACAGGGCGCCCAAACUGACCCGGAGCAUUGAGAUCCCUUGGAGAAAGGGUCACAUCAAUUCUGAACACGUGGUGCAUUCCAGGGUUUUCAGGGAUAUUUGCAUGGCUUUGCUGGUAUCCCACAGUUGGAGCCUUGGCAGUCAAGUUGCUUCUUGCUGUAUGGAGUCCCCCAGAUAUGGUGGGCUUGGACUGAGACACUGCUUUCUUCAGAGCUGGGGGAGAGGAUGACGUCUUGCUUUGAUUUCUGGGGAUUUGUUUAUGUGGACUUCCACCCAGUAAUUUAGGAAACACAGUUUGGGUUUUAGAAUUAGGUACCUCUUUGGUGUCUGUCUUCAGUUCUUCCUCUUUAGUUAUAAUCACAACAUGACUUUCAGAGAAAUUAAGUUUCUUCCCUGGCGCCACUUUGGCUGCAUCAUCUUCUGGCAAUCUUCCCAACUGUGUCUCAUUUGUAGAUUGGUUCUUUAAAUGACCCAUAUCUGCAAUGAACUUAAGAAGUGGUAGCGCUUUAAGGGCUUCAUGUUUUAGGUCUUUGCUCUGAGCCUCAGCUUUCUUUAUGACUGUGACUUCCUCAGAUUUCAGGAUUGGUGGGCUGGCAAAGUGCAUCCUCAAUUUUGUUACUGUCUGUGAUUUUUGCUUUGAUCUAUCAGUCUUGACACUGAUGGUCAUAUUCAGGGUCCUUUCAGAUGCUUGCUUUGAUGUAUCGCUGCUGACAUUAUAAUUUUGGGGGGCCUCUUGUUUUUUAUCGAAGGUUUCUGUACGUCCUGCUAUUUUGGUCAAUGGAACUCCUCUUGAAGCUGUGAAUGGGGUCUUCUCAGACUCUAACACUGUCAUCCACUUGGACAUCAUGUAUUGGGAGGAGACUUCAGGCUUGCUAUCUCUCCCCUGGGUCUUCUGCAUGGGAAUUGUCACUGGGAGGGUUUGCAGAUGUGCAAGAUGCCACAAAGGCACAGCCUUUCUCCUUCCCAGGAGGUUCUGCAUUUUCCCUUUCCUCUGGACUUGGUCCAUAUUCUCCUCAACCUUGAGUUCAUGGUUCUCAGCUUUUCUAAAGUUCUCCUUACCCCACGCUCCAUUCCGAGGCAGCCCCAUCCCUCUGAUGCUGGUGUAAAGGACCUUCACUUGGUCUGGCUCAACUCUGAAUCCCGUAUGUUCCCUCCUUAUGAUAUCUUCUUUGAGUAGCCCUGCGUUGAUCUCACUGAAUGAGAGGCGGAGAGCUGCCAUGUCAAAGAGCAACCAGAUGACAGACGCUGCAAAUAUAAAUGCCAAGACUCGCCCACUUCCUCGGAAAAACUUUCGGAUCUUGUUCAUCGUACAAAGGCUGACUUGCAGCUUGCGCUCUGCUUACCUGGAGUGGAGAGAG
rnacentral:lncRNA from 1 species